UGUUCUUGGAGGUUGUUAUUAAAAAACAAAAAACUUUCCAUGCCAAGUGUGUUUCCAGUGAUUUUUUGGAAAUUUGUAGGGUUAGUGGAUAUCCUAGCCUUUUCUCCUGACUUUGGUUAUGGAGUUUUGUUUCAUAACGCUUGAAAAAGGGAGUCUUAUUAAUCAUUGUUGGCUUUAUGCGUCUUAGCAGGAAUGUAAUCACAAAAGUGCUUGUUUUCCUUUUAGGAUUAGCCUUAGCAAUGCUUAGGAAAGUUUAUGAAUCCAGAAGUAAGUUUUAAACUUUCGGUUCGGGUGUCGGGUAAUUUUGGUCAUCGGACCAUGGAUGUAAGUUAAUCGUUAAUUUAACUUGCAUGAUCUUUCUCACGGUAAGUCGUUGAGUGUUUAAGUUGAAUUUUAUCAAAAAAAAAGGGAAAAAGAAAAUUUAGAAAUCUUUUUAAGAUCCAUUUUGGUUUGUUCGGCCUAGGUGUCUGGUCGAGUCCUUUCCCCUUAAUGAUUAAUUUAUGUUUAAAAUCUGCUUGUCCCUCCUAUUCCAUCUUUCUUCCUUUCAGUUUUGCUGGUGGAGUUUCACUGAUCUGUUUUUGUAUCUUAGGGUGUUGAUUUUUAGCUUAAUCUUGAUUACUAUAAAAAUUAGGUUCAUCCUUUAACAAUUGAGUAAGAAAUUAGAGUUUUUUGUGGUGUUGGCUACUGAUUGAGACCUAGAUCUCUUUUGAUAAGAGGACCCUUCUAAUGUGUUUUGGGUACUAUAAUGAUUUUAGAAUAAAUAGUUUGGCAAGUUUCUUUUUUUGGGACUUUUCUGUUCAAUCUCCGAUCCCCUGAGAACACUGGUUCAAUGACUCUACUCCGAUCCAAAAUGAUCAAUCUGUUUUAUAUUGGCUACUCCUACUGAAACAACAAAGGGAAUCCAGGUACCUUCAAGGGAGCAGGAACGGGUAGCUGCAGGACUAAUUCAGCAGAAGAAGCGGAAGUUGUAGCUUUGCUACAAACUACACAAUGGGCCAUCACAAACAAACUGCAGAGUCUGUCCAUAGAAGGAGGUAACCAAAAUACUAUCAAGUACUUACAAGGCACACAGAACUCAGUCAAAUGGCAAUGCGUAGCAAGUCUAGAUGAAGUUAAAAGGUUGGUAGAAAAACUAAUUUCUUUUGGGAGAUUUCAUUUUGUGGAUAGAAGAGCUAACAAAGCAGCAGACUUGCUAGCAAAAAAAGCGAGAAAUUCACCUCAACAACUUACUAGUUUUACUGAAGUUCCUUUAUUUUUAAUUCCUACAAUAGCUUUUGACACUGUCAAAGCUCAAAAGAUCUGUAAUAUGAACUCCAAUUAUGUAACUUUUCUUGAAGAAACUAAUCACACAGAUUCAGUCAUCGGACGGACGACUCAAUCAGAGUUGAUUCCAAAUGAGUCUGAAUUUACGGAUUAGUUUUCUUUGCAGUUAUUUUCAAAAAUAAAUAAAAAAAAUUAGGUCUCGUUGAGAAACCACUUUGAGAAUUCAAUUCACGAGCAAAGAGAGCUGCUGUUGCCGUAGUAUCCAGUGAUGGUAACCAAGUUCAAGAUUUGUUGCCGUCAGUUCUAGCCAAGAUCCGAUGGGUGUCUGCCAAGGAUUAAGGCCAAGUUCAGUGACAAAGAACAAGGAGAUGGUUCUAUGUACGAGAGUACAACUGAAUAGGUGAGGUUGCUGCUGUCAGUUGUGGUACGAAUCAUGAGGAUUUGAUGGAGUUCACAGACCAAGAAGGAGACAGAGCUGGUGAUAUGUAAAUGAUGAAUGAUUGAUGGAUUUUGGGUGAAAUUGUGACCGAAAAACAGUUGGCGAAAAGGGGAUUUGAGGCUGCUGUUGCAAUGGGUUUUGGUGGUUAUUCUUGAAGAAUUAGGAGCUCAAGAUGAAGUAAGAAGUUGGGUUGUUCGGUUUGUAGAAGUUCAAGUGGAAUUUAUACUCAAAAGAGCCGAGAGAGAACAACUCUGACUCUUCUCUGUCCGUACAGCUAGGAAGUGAUUUGUGGUAAUUGUAUGGCUGAAUUGAUGGAUGUAUAUGAGUCUGAAUGUGUUAACGACAUGGGUUUGCAUCAGAUUUCAAUUGUGCAGGGAAAUGGAGAGUGUAGAAGAUGAUUAUUUGACUCAUGAAUACAUCACUGGGUUGUGCACACAAGAUGUUCGCUUAAAUGCGUGAACGACUGGUUCUCAUGUGUUAAACAAGAAAACAUGGAGAAACUGAUGCUAUUGCUAAGGAGUUGUUGUUGCAGCCGUGGGUUUGAUGGAUGCAGGUUUGGCAGAAGCCUAGGACUUGAUGGAGAUGACAAGGAAGGAACUGACUUGGUCCUGCUGAUCACAGUGGUUGGCCAUGAUGGUUGAGUUGGAUUUGAGCUAAAAACGGUAGAAUGAGUAUGUUACUGUUAUGGGUCUUGGUGGUGUUUGAGAUUGAGAGCUUGGCAGAGUUUUGCAGCUGAGUUCUGUGAUGGAGUUGUGUCUCUACACAGGAUAAAAAGACACAGGUGCUGGUGGAUCAUAUGCAAAGGGUUUUGAGGCUGAGUUUCCAGUGAGAAAGAAUGGCAAAAAUCCACCAGUUCUGCUCUAGUUAUGUGCAGUACUAGCCAUGGUUCAGUGGUCUUGUAUGAGAGUUGUUUGGCACCAGCAAGGAGAGAGUUCUGAGCUUGUUUUGCAGACGAAAAAUCAGUGAAGUAAGAUGGUUAUGUAGCUGGUUUGCCGCGAGCUUAUAGGCUGUAUAUAAGAGUUUUCUGGCAGCAGUUUGGACUGAGGCCAAGGUUGGCAAGGAAGAAGAGUAUGCUGUUACCAAUGGACAUGACUUUGAUAUUGAGCUGUAUAUAUAAAUGGACAGGCCUGAGUACGAAGGUUGGUUGGCAGUGACUAGGAUCAGACUUAGAAGGCUACAAAAUAUGGAGACUUGGGCGCAAAUUUAUCUUAGUUUUGGAAGGAGUUUAUUGGCCAGAAGUGCUGUCUUGGCCGUGAGUUUUUGGGAGUUGAACGGCUAAGAUAGGAAGCUUGCAGGGGUUUAUGUUCUGUUAGGAUUGCUGGGGCUGUUUAGGUCGCGGAAUUGCAGGGAAAGAAAGCUAUAAAGAGGAGACGCAGAAACAGAGAAAGACCUACCUCUUGAUCACCAGUUUUGUGCUUGCAGAUUGUUCGCAGAAAUUCCUGAGAGAAGAAGCUACAUAGAACCAGUACCUGCUCCUGUUUUCCCAAGCUGCUGAGUACCUCCGCAGUGGUUUGCUUUCGAGUUUUCUCUAGCUUUGAACCUUGUUUACUUUGAAUAUACCUUUGUGCUUAUUCCAAAAACUAUGAGCAGCUAAUUCCAUUAUUGAUUGGGGAGGAUUUCAAAAAUGCAAACAUGUUUUAUUAAUCAAUCUUUGCAAGUUUUUCUUUC